rnacentral:rRNA from 1 species
GCUCAGGGUGAGGAUACAUCUCCAAUCUAAUUUUUCGUGCGGGAUAACGUAGGGAAACUUACGCUAAUACCGCAUACGACCUACGGGUGAAAGCAGGGGAUCUUCGGACCUUGCGCGAUUGAAUGAGCCGAUGUCGGAUUAUCUAGUUGGCGGGGUAAAGGCCCACCAAGGCGACGAUCCGUAGCUGGUCUGAGAGGAUGAUCAGCCACACUGGAACUGAGACACGGUCCAGACUCAUACGGGAGGCAGCAGUGGGGAAUAUUGGACAAUGGGCGCAAGCCUGAUCCAGCCAUACCGCGUGGGUGAAGAAGGCCUUCGGGUUGUAAAGCCCUUUUGUUGGGAAAGAAAUCCAGCUGGCUAAUACCCGGUUGGGAUGACGGUACCCAAAGAAUAAGCACCGGCUAACUUCGUGCCAGCGGCCGCGGUAAUACGAAGGGUGCAAGCGUUACUCGGAAUUACUGGGCGUAAAGCGUGCGUAGGUGGUCGUUUAAGUCCGUUGUGAAAGCCCUGGGCUCAACCUGGGAACUGCAGUGGAUACUGGGCGACUAGAAUGUGGUAGAGGGUAGCGGAAUUCCUGGUGUAGCAGUGAAAUGCGUAGAGAUCAUGGAGGAACAUCUAUGGCGAAGGCAGCUACCUGGGACCAACAUUG